rnacentral:rRNA from 1 species
GAAACUAACAAGGAUUCCCCUAGUAACGGCGAGUGAACCGGGAAGAGCUCAAAUUUGAAAUCUGGCGUGCUCAGUGCGUCCGAGUUGUAAUCUAUAGAGUCGUUUUCCGUGCCGGACUGUGUCCAAGUCCCUUGGAACAGGGUAUCAAAGAGGGUGAUAAUCCCGUACUUGACACAAUGACCGGUGCUCUGUGAUACGUCUUCUACGAGUCGAGUUGUUUGGGAAUGCAGCUCAAAAUGGGUGGUGAGUUCCAUCUAAAGCUAAAUAUUGGCGAGAGACCGAUAGCGAACAAGUACCGUGAGGGAAAGAUGAAAAGCACUUUGGAAAGAGAGUUAAACAGUACGUGAAAUUGUUAAAAGGGAAACGAUUGAAGUCAGUCGUGACUGAGAGGCUCAGCCGGUUCUGCCGGUGUAUUCCCCUCAGUCGGGUCAACAUCAGUUUUGUUCGGUGGAUAAGGGCAGUUGGAAGGUGGCACCCUCGGGUGUGUUAUAGCCAGUGUCGCAUACAUCGGAUGAGACUGAGGAAUGCAGCUCGCCUUUAUGGCCGGGGUUCGCCCACGUUCGAGCUUAGGAUGUUGACAUAAUGGCUUUAAACGAC